rnacentral:rRNA from 1 species
UACGAAGGGGGCUAGCGUUGUUCGGAAUUACUGGGCGUAAAGGGCGCGUAGGCGGUGCCUCAAGUCAGGCGUGAAAGCCCCCGGCUCACCUGGGGAACUGCGCCGGAAACCGACAGACUCGAGUACCGGAGAGGAGGGUGGAAUUCCUGGUGUAGCGGUGAAAUGCGUAGAUAUCAGGAGGAACACCGGUGGCGAAGGCGGCCCUCUGGACGGUCACUGACGCUGAGACGCGAAAGCGUGGGUAGCAAACAGG